CUCACUAUGGUAGCCAUAAGUACUAACGUUUCUGAGUGCUUACUACGUUAUCUCACUGAUCUUUUAUCACAGUUCAUUGCAGAAAAGUUUUUAUUGUCCUCAGUGUAUUGAAAAAGACUCAGAGAGCUUAAGUAACUUGCCAGAAACAAACAGCAAGUAAGUGACAGAGCAGGAAUUCACACCUAGGUGUGUAACUGUGCUCUGGUGAUGAGCUGAGGACUGUGGGCACCCAGGAGAGGCACCUGCCCAGCAUGGAGGUCAGAGAAAGCUUCCUGAAGGAAGGGGUCAGCUCGCUGUGGCCUACUGCAGUGUUUCUCAACAAGGACCCUGCUGGUCUGUAGGUGGGGAGUUCUUUAUUAUGACAGCAUCCCUGGCCACUCCUCUGGAUAUUUCCCAGGAGCACCCUUCAGUCAUCAUGACAACUGAGAAUGCUCACACACAUUUGAACGUCUGUUUUAUGAGCAGGAAGAUGUAUAGACCUUCAGCGUUGCAUUCAUCAGUACCCGCCCCCAGAGGGAACCGUCCUCACCACGUCUGUCACUGGAGAUGACUUGUCUGUUCUUGAUCUUGGUAUAAACGAACUCAGGAUACACGAAGCCCUCAGCCGUGAGAUACGAGGCCCCCUCCUGCCCACUGUCCAGCCAUACAGAGGGGCCUUCUCCCAGCUCGCCUUGCCCUUUCGCCUCUUCUGGCCUUUGCCGCUGCAGUCUUCUCUGCCUGGAGCACCCUCUGCACGGUCUGGUGAAUUCUCCUGGUCCUUUGGUCCUUGGGAUGCUCAGACAUCAAUUCCCUGUGCAGCUUCCUGGAUUUUCCCGCUGUGCCCUCCUAGGCACCCAUGUCCCACAGCCUCCAUUGACAUUUAGCACCUAUUCAACUCUGCUCACAGGACUGCAAGCUGGUUUGAGGGCAGGACUGGGGCUUAGUCAUCUGUAUAUCCUCACAGGUCCAACACACAGAGCCUGAUAGAAAAGAAACAGAUUUAAGAUUAUAGCAGGUCCCGUCUCAAGCUUACUUAGAGGCAAAUUGGGUCUAAAAAAGCUGUGCAAAAUAUAUCCAAACCACCCUCUGAAAUUGAUCAAAGAAAGGUGGUGGGGAAAAAAAAGUGUAAUCUCUGACCACAAAUGAUAAAUGUAGCAUUAAACUCACUACAGUGAGGCAGAGAGCUCCAGCCCUUGCCUAGAUGAUCUGGAUUCAUGGGAAAGCCAUGGACAUUGAUAAGUGCAAAGUGAUACAGUUCAGGGAGUCAAGGGGAUGGGCAAAAGAGUAGAGUCAAUCAAGGAGGGCUGCCUGGAGGAGGUGAGUUUCAAAGGUUUUUCAAAGAGGAGUCCGUUGAGCCAGAGCUACAUAAUCAAGGGUAAUCUAUAGAAAGCCUUAAAGCAUGAGCCAAGGCAGCCUGAAUCUGUCUUCUUGUGACUUUGGUCCUGAGUCUCACAUAGGUCCCCUUCCCUCACCUUUCACUCCUUUUCAUUCACUUCUUUCUUCCCUCGUUUCUCCUAUUUAAUCUCCUUUGCAUCUUCUUUACAAACUUGAAUGUGCAGAAGGAGCUGGAUAUACAUUGCUUGGCCUUCCAUCCCGUCCUCGGUGUGCUGGACUCCCCAUCUUGGAGGAGACAGAAGGAGGCCCAUCUCCUAUCCCCCCCCACCCCCAGCCUGGGCAGCUCACAGCAGUCAAGGUUAUGGACAAGAGAGCCAGGCAGCAGCCCAGGCUGGAGUGUGGUCCAUGGCCAGGUGCCGAGUUACAGAUCAAAACACUCGGGGGAGAAUUCAGCUGGAAGAGGGGUCAGUGUGUGCUGGAUUCCCUGGGGAGGCUUCCGGGAGGUGGCAUGAGCUUCGGCCGGCCCUGGCCACAGCUCAGGGGAGAGGAGCUGGGAGGCCUGUCCAGGAAGGAGGACCAGGGGAGACGCGGGCUGAGAAGCAACAGUGAGCACAAUGGUGUUCAUGAUGGAAGAGGAUCUGGGGAACCCCACGAAAUUGGGUUUUCAGCUCUUUGGGCCCCGCCCUUUCAGGGCCCUGUGUCUGACUCAAGGGACCCCGAAACUGCCCAGGGCUCUCCACAGGGAGGAGAGCAGUUCUGCCGGAGAGGCCCCAUUCAUCCCCAAGGUGGCCUCUUCUGCAGGGCUCUGCUUAGCUCCAGGACCCCCGGCAAAGCCUAAGGAAACAGCUUUGCAGCUGGUGGCACCGUCUGGUAUGGAGAGCAGGAGCGGCUCCCGUGCGGGGUUGACUGGAGGGGCCUGGGAGAGGCAGCUUUGAAGCAGGUCAGCGUGGUGACAGGGAGCCCUCCCCCGGUGCCAGGUCUCUAGACCCUUUUCAGCCUUGAAUCCUGGCUUCUUUUUUUCUAUUUCCUAUUCCAUUCAACUUCCUGGCUCAUACGGUAUCCUCUCUCCUAGCAAAGGUGCCUCAGACCCAGCUCACGUUUCCAGUUUCCAUCUUGCACCCCCGCCCCCCCAGGCUCUGACUGCGUCUCAGUUUUGCUGGAGUCUUUUACCAAACCCUGAAGUGGCAGCAUCUUCCCAACCCGAGCACAGAAGGGUGACCUGAGGGGCUGGGGGUGGGGGCUCUGAUGGAGGACUAGACCCCACAGUGAGGUGUGGCAAGAGUCAGAGUUCUCCCUAGCCGCAGGUGGGAACAGACCUAGCUCUGUACCCCAGCCCCCUCCUUUCCAAGUGCAUAUGAGCCCUGUGAGAGGUGGUUCUGCAGGUGAUGGAGAGAGGAGCAGAUGCCAGACAGGAUCUUCGUGGACAAUCCAGAGCAACGCACAGGCGGCCCUGGCCUUCAGGCCCAAGGCUGGCAUCAGGGACAUCUGAGGCUAAAACCAGAGGCAGGUAGAGAUCGGAAGCCCAGAAUGAUUUGUGAUGAUCAGGGUGUGUAUGUCACCAGCGCUGGCUAGGUCAGGAUUCUAGUUUUGUUUGGAGGGGGCAGAGCUGCAAGAGUGGACAAAGCCUCAGUCCUAGAAGGAAGAAGACCGAGACAGAGAUUCUGCCUGCCAGGGCAUCAGGCGGAAGGCCAGGUGCUGGGAUGGGGCCAGUGUCAGAGCUGGAUGAGCAAGAGUGAGACUGAGUAUUGUGAAAAUAAUAGUAUUAGUUAACACUUAAAUGGGCUUCCUUAGUAGGUCAAUGGUAAAGAAUCUGCCUGGCAAUGCAGGAGAUGCGGGUUUGCUCCCUGGGUCAGGAAGAUCCCCUGGA